UACGUAGGGACCAAGCGUUGUUCGGAUUUACUGGGCGUAAAGGGCGCGUAGGCGGCGUGACAAGUCAAUUGUGAAAUCUCCGGGCUUAACUCGGAACGGUCAAUUGAUACUGUUGUGCUAGAGUACAGAAGGGGCAAUCGGAAUUCUUGGUGUAGCGGUGAAAUGCGUAGAUAUCAGGAGGAACACCAAUGGCGAAGGCAGCACUCUGGGACGUGACUGACGCUGAGACGCGAAAGCGUGGGGAGCAAACAGG
rnacentral:rRNA from 1 species